UCUGGAGCGGGGACAUCCGCUUCCGGAUUCUAACAAAGGAUGGACAUAGCAGACGAGGCGACUUUCAGGUCACACGUGCUGCUUCAUCGUGAGCAACUAUCAUACUAAUCCCUCACCACGAGGCGAGGAAAACAGUCCUUACCGGGGGAUUAUAUCAUAGUCCCUUAGCUCAGUUGGUUAGAGCGCUACACUGAUAAUGUAGAGGUCGGCAGUUCAACUCUGCCAGGGACUACUUGAAAAGAGGACAUUGACAUGCUGGAAGCGAGUCAUGACGCCCGAAAGGCGUUAUGAGAAGCGAAUCAAAACGAGUAACCAAAACAGAAAUCGAGCAAUCGAAAUCAAAUCGAAGCAGCCGGUCGCAAAGCCGGCGCUCGGAAACAAAACAAGUUUCGGAGAGCGAGCCUCGAGAUGUUCGAACCGAUUGAAACCAAGGUCAUAAAGAAAGGAGAGAAGGGCACAUGAAGGAUGCCUGGGCUCUCGGAGGCGACGAAGGACGUGAUAAGCUGCGAUAAGCCGCGGGGAGGAGCAAAUAUCCCCUGAUCCGCGGAUCUC
rnacentral:misc_RNA from 1 species